rnacentral:sRNA from 1 species
AUGUCCCCCUCGUCCACUCCGGUACUUGCGCCGUCCACACCCGCCUGACGGCUGCGCGCUCCACCUUGUUUGCC